GACGAACGCUGGCGGCGUGCUUAACACAUGCAAGUCGAACGGAAAGGCCCUGCUUUUGUGGGGUGCUCGAGUGGCGAACGGGUGAGUAACACGUGAGUAACCUGCCCUUGACUUUGGGAUAACUUCAGGAAACUGGGGCUAUACCGGGAAAGGAGUCCUGCUGCAUGGGUGGGGGUUGGAAGGUUCGGCGGUUGGGGAUGGACUCGCGGCUUAUCAGCUUGUUGGUGGGGUAGUGGCUUACCAAGGCUUUGACGGGUAGCCGGCCUGAGAGGGUGACCGGCCACAUUGGGACUGAGAUACGGCCCAGACUCCUACGGGAGGCAGCAGUGGGGAAUAUUGCACAAUGGGCGGAAGCCUGAUGCAGCAACGCCGCGUGCGGGAUGACGGCCUUCGGGUUGUAAACCGCUUUCGCCUGUGACGAAGCGUGAGUGACGGUAAUGGGUAAAGAAGCACCGGCUAACUACGUG
rnacentral:rRNA from 1 species